rnacentral:tRNA from 1 species
UAGCUCAGUUGGUAGAGCACUCCGCUGGAAAUGGAGAGGUCUCUGGUUCGAUACCAGG